UACGGAGGGGACUAGCGUUGUUCGGAAUUACUGGGCGUAAAGCGCACGUAGGCGGAUUUGUAAGUCAGGGGUGAAAUCCCGGGGCUCAACCUCGGAACUGCCUUUGAUACUGCAAAUCUCGAGUCCGGAAGAGGUGAGUGGAAUUCCUAGUGUAGAGGUGAAAUUCGUAGAUAUUCGGAAGAACACCAGUGGCGAAGGCGACUCACUGGACACAUAUUGACGCUGAGGUGCGAAAGCGUGGGGAGCAAACAGG
rnacentral:rRNA from 1 species